GCCGUUUUUCAUCUCUUCCUUUCUGUAACAUUUUCGCAUUCGGCAUCAGAUUCAACCUGUUCUUAUAUAUUCUUUAUCCAGGAAGCCCUUUUAUUAUGCCACUUUUAUUUAUUUGUUUGUUUUAUGUUUUAACCUAGUUCUAGGGUUUUUCCUUUGAUAGUUUGUGUUAACGGGAGCUGAGUGUGCUUCAAUUGAGCACUUCAAUUGAAGAUUUCCUUCACCAAUUGGGUAUUUAUAGGAGAUUUGCUACUUCUUGUUUUCGGUAUCAGGUAGGGUUGAUGGCUGAUCGGAGUUCGGCCGUUGCAAAGCCGGUAUGGAUGAAGCAAGCCGAGGAGGCCAAGCUGAAGAGCGAAGCCGAGAAAGCCGCGGCAGCUAAAGCUGCUUUCGAAGCGACCUUCAAGGAUUUGGAGAAGGGUCGCGAGAAGGGCACUGUUCAAUCUGACAGUGAAUCCGAGGAAUACGAGGAUUUGGCCAAUAAGCCGAUUGGACCUGUGGAUCCUUCUAAGUGCACGGCGGCGGGUACUGGCAUUGCCGGCGGAACAGCCUGUGCUCCUUCUUCGUUCACAGUGGUCACCAAGGAUUCAGAUGAGAGGAAGGUUUCAGGUGGGGGUGCACAAGUCAAGGUGAGGGUGACGCCAGGUUUGGGCGUUGGAGGGUCUGAUCAAGAAGGGAUUGUGAAGGAUAUGGGUGAUGGAACGUAUAACGUCACUUAUGUGGUGCCCAAGAGAGGGAAUUACAUGGUCAGUGUUGAAUGUAAUGGCAAGGCAAUCAUGGGUAGUCCAUUCCCUGUGUUUUUCAGUGCAGGCAAUAGUAGUGGAGGGCUGCUGGGUUUAGCUCCGGCAUCUUCUUUUCCAAAUCUUGUUAAUCAAACUAUGCCAAACAUGCCGAACUACUCUGGGUCCGUUUCAGGGGCAUUCCCAGGAUUACUGGGAAUGAUUCCAGGGAUUGUUGCUGGAGCUUCUGGGGGUGCUAUUUUGCCUGGAAUUGGGGCCUCAUUAGGGGAAGUUUGCCGUGAUUAUCUUAAUGGGCGAUGUAUAAAAGUCGAUUGUAAGUUGAAUCACCCACCUCAUAAUUUGCUAAUGACUGCAUUAGCCGCAACGACCUCAAUGGGAACACUUAGCCAAGCUCCUAUGGCUCCGUCUGCUGCUGCAAUGGCUGCUGCACAGGCAAUAGUUGCUGCCCAAGCACUUCAAGCCCAUGCAGCUCAGGUGCAAGCGCAGUCUGUAAAAGAUUCCACUGGCUCACCUGAAAAAGCUGGUAAGGAUGAUGCAUUGAAGAAAACUCUCCAAGUUAGCAAUCUGAGUCCACUUCUCUCUGUUGAACAGCUAAAACAACUCUUUGGCUUCUGUGGCACAGUUGUUGAAUGCACAAUUGCUGAUUCAAAGCAUUUUGCUUAUAUAGAAUAUUCAAAACCUGAAGAGGCUACUGCUGCUCUGGCGUUAAAUAACAUAGAUGUUGGUGGCCGGCCUUUGAAUGUUGAGAUGGCAAAAUCUCUUCCACAAAAACCAUCUGUUGUGAAUUCUUCCCUUGCUUCGUCAUCUCUUCCUUUGAUGAUGCAGCAAGCUGUGGCAAUGCAGCAGAUGCAAUUCCAGCAAGCUCUGCUUAUGCAACAAACCAUGACUGCACAGCAGGCUGCCAAUAAAGCCGCCACCAUGAAGUCUGCAACAGAGUUAGCGGCAGCCCGAGCUGCUGAAAUAAGUAAGAAACUGAAAGCUGAUGGACCUGAAAUUGAAGAGAAAGAAACAAAACAGAAAUCCAGGUCUCCUUCUCCUCCUCGUGCAAGAUCUCGAUCAAAGUCAAGAUCUCCUGUUAGUUAUCGAAGAAGGAGGAGGUCUCGUUCCUACUCUCCUGCUCGUUACAAUAGGGGUCGUCGGUCCAGAUCGCCAGUCAGGUCCCAUCAUUAUUCAAGCUAUGAAAGGGAUCGAAGGUCCUAUAGAGACAUCAGAGAACACAGUGAUAGAAGCAGAAGACGGGAUUCAGAUAGAUACCUUGAUCGGCAUUCAUCUGCUUCAAGAAGGAAUAGGAGUAGGAGCGUGAGCCCUCAUUCAAGGAAAUUACAUCGAACUGAAUCUAUUUCUCCAAAACAUCACAGAGAAAGUUCACCUCAUAGAGGAAGGAAAGAAUCACGUGCUGAUUCUGGAUCCCCAAGUCAUCGCAGAGGUAGUAAGUCAUCUCCCAAGAUUGAUGAAAUCAAACAAGAGAGCAAAAGACGCUCAAGAUCAGUUUCUUCAGAUGAUAAUAGGCUUCAAUCCAGCAAAAAUGAAGAAGUCCUGCAUGGAAAAUCUAAAAAUAGAGAGAGAAGACGGUCCAGGUCAGUAUCUGUCGAGGAGAAGCCUUACAGGAGGAGCCGAUCAUCCCCAAGAAGAGUGGAUGAAAGUAGAUCUAGGCAUAAUAAACGGUCAAGAUCGAAAUCUGUGGAUGAUAAGCAGCGCUUGCCUGAGAAAUCAGAUGAAAGCAAGCAUAGAAGGUCAAGGCCUAGUGAUAAAAGGCGUUCCAGAUCAAGAUCAACAGAAAGUAAGAAUGAAAUUGAUGAAAGAGAGGAUGAAAAAAAGAUCAAAACUGAUAGGUCAAAGCAUCAUCACACUAAAAGAAACAGGUCAAGAUCUGUUGAAGGGAAGCAUCGCACUAAAGAUAAAUCAGGUGAUAGUAAAGAUAAAAAAUCAAAGCAUCGCAAUAGAAGACGUUCCAGGUCAAUAUCAUUAGAGGUUGAGCAUAACAAUGGAGGCAGCUCAUCACAUAAAGAAUUGGAUGAAAGCAAUUUUGAACAGAGAAAACUUAGGUCUAAGUCCCCUGAAGGAAAGCGUCACACUGGUGAUAAAUAUGGAAGCAGAUAUGAAAGAUCAGAGCAUCAAGAGAAAUCCCUAUCUAAAUCAAAAUCAGGAAAUCACAACCCAGUUGAAUGUGAUGGUAAUGGGCUCUCCCCACGAGUUAUGGAGGAGUACGAAUCUAAGGGAAUAACACAAACUGAUUCUGGAUUUAUGGAAGGUAAACAUCAUUUGAAUGAUGGAGAAAAUGCUACUAGCAAUAUAAAUUCAAAAGUUCAUGAAGAUGCUGUGCAGGAACCAACUAUAAAUUUAAAGAUGGCAAAGGCAAAUGAUAGUGGGAAUUGGGUUUCACCAAACAAAACCUGCAAGUCAGAAGGGUCAAGUGAAAAUGCUGGAGCUGAUUAUAACCAAGACCGUAUGUGCGGUGAAGAAGCAAGAAGUGGAAGAUAUUAAGCACUCUCUAUUUGGAGUGGGAAUAUAAAUGAUUUCAAAGAUUCAACCUGGCUUUUGACUAUGCUAAUGGACAUUAUUGUGACAUAGAUCUGUCAUUUCAUCCGGAACCAAAAGUGGCACCUACUUAUCAGAGAAGCCAUGUUACACAAGGCUGAUUUGGUUUCAUAGUGCUGUCAUAUAUUGUUUCACUACAAGAGCAUUGCAGGAAUCAUGGUUGAAGAUUUUUUCACCCGUCAAUGAUUAUGGCGCAUAUUCUAAUUAAGGAUUCUCAUUAAGUUUACUGAACUAAUUCCUUCCAAGGAAUAGACAGUUUCUUCUUAGUAGAAAUCACAAUUCUCAGAGGAUGCUUCGCUAUUUGAUUUGGUUCCCAGAAUAUUCUGUGUUAGCUGAUGAACAAAUUCAAUUGAUUAUUUCCUUUUUUCAGGUUGGGUUGGAACAAAGAUCAGAUAUAGAAUCUGAGCUGUGAUGUGGUUUAAGGUUUCAAGAAGUGUCGUGAAUUUGUCAUGAUCAGCCACGCAGCGCUUAUAUAUCAUGCUUCUUUUACUGCUUGAUUGAUGUUAUUCACGUUGAAAUCUGUUCGAGCUUUGAGAUAAAGUUUUGCUGGGUUGGUUUCUCUUGUGUAAAAUGAAGAAAUUAUUAUGGUUAGGUAAAGCUUCUAUUUAAGGUCAAGUGAACCUGGAUGUUGCUGCAAUGAGUUACUUCAUGUUGCAUUUGAGCAAAUUGGGCAGAGUUACAGUUUUUACUUAAGUAAAUGCUGAAAAGCAAAUAUUGAUUUGAACAGGGUAAGCUGUGGAUAUGAUGAUCUUAUGAGCAGUUGCAGCAUCUUCGUCCAGAUUAUUAUUCGAAGUUCUUGGAAGUUGUGUGCUUUUAGAUUUCUAUUUCGUUGUGGGUAGAAUAUUUGAAUAGAAUCGUUAUCUCUAUGCAUCAAGUGCUCGACUCACUAAUGUUUCCCCGUCAA